CAUCUUCCUUAGCCGAAAGUAAACAAAAGAAAAAGAAAGAAAGCCUAGCUAUAUUCGGUCAUAUAAAAGCUUGAUUGAGAUCGAGAACCAAAGAAAUCGGAGUUAGAUCGGGGAAAAGCCAAAUUAGUCGAAUAAUCGUCCGACUUCGAUUUUCCAUCGUACGAGAUUUUGGCGACGCGUUACGAGCUCGGGGAUCAUCAACAUAGUCUAUCACACUAUCAACUUCUUUUGGUAUUUUGUUAAAAAUUUGAACUCAAUCUUAUGGCAUGUAUAGGUUUGAGUAUGAUGUUAGUUAGAUUGGUUUGUAAAUUAUAAAUAGCUAUGCGAAAAUGACUUAAUUUUCAUGUUUGUGAUCA